GUGGGUGUAGCUCAGUUGGUAGAGCCCCGGAUUGUGAUUCCGGUUGUCGUGGGUUCGAGUCCCAUCAUCCACC
rfam:Idiomarinaceae bacterium HL-53 ITZY_scaf_99, whole genome shotgun sequence.